AACAUUAAGCCCGUGACUGACCCCUCCGUUGGAGAAGUCCGUUGCAACUGCAGAAAGGUUAACGACAGUUAAAAACGUGGAUGUGCUCCGGUAGUUUCAAUAGUACAGAUCAAGUACCUUGGCUACUGUAAUGUGCAGAUCAUUACUUAUUAUUCUUCAGUUUUAUAAUUGUUCAUAAAUGUGCAAUAAAGAGGAAACAAUAAUUUCUCCUGUUAGCUGACAAGUAUGGAAGGUAUAUAUAUAAGAACAUUCACUACUACAAAACAUAGAUAUUGUAACACAUUGUUGUAACACAUUCAUCAUUGUGUUACAAUGGAGUUUCAUUUUUUUUGAAACCUUUAACAAUGGAGUUUCAUAGGAACACAAAAGUAUGUGUUACAAAUGAACGUUGUAACACUUAGUGCUAGUUUCGUAAAAAGUUUGUUACAAACAAGGAUUAUAUAUAGUAACACAAAAUUAAUGUUGCAGCUAAAAUGUUACAAAGAUAGUAGUAUAUUGUAACACAUAGAAAAUAAUGUUACAGCUAAAAUGUUACAAAGAAACAUGUAUAUGUUCUUGUUUGAUGAUCCAUUCAUAUUUCCAUAUAGAUGUCUACCACUUUAUAGUACCUCAGUGUUAAAUACAUAAACAAUAUGGAAAAAAUGAGAAGAGACGACAUGACGGCCGCAGACAUAAAGAAACGGUGAGUUGUAGUCAGCUCUGAUGUAUGAGCCUACAAGGUUGGUGCUGCUUUAAACGGGUCCGACCGUCCGAGAGAUGUCAAGAUGAUGAAUGCGAAAAAGAAGAUACAGUAUUGGGGCUGUGGACUGGAUGAGGAAGUGAUCAGUAGGGUCGUCAUAGCUAUGUGCCAGUUGCUGGUCAUAAAGGUUGGCUCUGCUUGACAUUAAUUUAUAGCGACCUUAUAACUAAAAUAAUUUUAAAAUACUUAGCAUUCACGCACAAACCUAUGAAAAAUUGGAGUUUUCAUUGGCAUGGUAAGAUGGUGUUCAGAAUCCUUUAAAAAUAUGACAAAACAAUUGCAGAAACAAUAAUCAAAUACUAGAUUCUUCACUUAAUUUGUGGAUUAGCUUACCAUCAGGCUGUAACACUUUGUUUUUUGCUUUUCCUUGCAAUUUUGUUUCUAUAACAAAAAAAAAAGAUGGCCACCACUUGUACAUUAUUGAUGAUGGCCACGCAGCGCAUGUUCAUUCCAUAGGGCACGAAUCUAACGAGGAAUUAUUCUCUGUACUGAAAUCUACGUGUAUGAUUUUAUAAUAGAGAUUUACUCCACGACAAUCAAUUGAAAUCUUGUCCAUCAAUUACUGGAUUUUAUACUAGACAUUUAGUGGGAACAAGGAUUUGGAGUUAGGGUUUGGGAGAUUUUAGGUUGGGAGUUACCUAUGACUUGUGGGCCUAGAGCGAGUUCUGGACAGCUCACUGGCCGACAGUGAAGGUGGGAGAGAUGGCACGAUGGAGUGAAGUGGAGGCGGAAAGGGUGUGUGUGUUGGAUGGGGGGAGCGUGGUAUGGCCCAAAUAGGAUUGCAUGGGUCGAUGACAAAAGGUGGAAGCUACAGCUAUUGAAGGCAGUAGUAGUGAAAGGUCAUCACACAUUGAGAUCAAGCGUCGGGUGACCGCAUGAGCUAGGAAGACAUAGUUGACUUUACCUAGUAUUUUAUCUACAACCACACAGAUAUAUUUGACACAUACAUAUAAGGGUGCUAAUCAGGGGCGGACCCAAGCCCAAAACCGAGUGAGGGCUUGCUAACAGCUCGGCUUGCUUAAGCUAGAGUAAAAGGCCUAAUUCCCUUUGAAUAUCAGAAUUCGAGUGUGGGCCUGGGUCCACGCUGGCCAUAACAUGGGUCCGCCACUGGGUCUAAUGGAUCAUGACUCUUAUACCUCCUCACAAUCUAACAUGAUCCUAAUUAAUUUUAGUUCAAAAUAUAUAAUAUUUUAGAUCCGAUCCUUGAAAUUGUUAUGCUAAAUUAUUAGGUACAACCCCUACAUACGUACUACAACAAAAUUGUUUCAUGAGUUAUACUUUACCUAUUAGUUUUUUUUUUGAGAAAGCCAUUUGGCGCCCUUUAUUGAUAUUGAAUAAUAGUUACAUCGUUCGCCAAAGCUCCUAGAAUGAAACUAGGGGGUUCAUCGACCCAAUUACAAGAUAAUUUGCUUUUCAUUGCUUCUCUAGCUAACUCAUGUGCUGCACAAUUCGCCUCCCGAUUACAAUGAUCGAUGCAAAUAGAAACAAAAUCUUGCCAUAGUAUGAAACACUCAUCAUAAAUCGGAGCACUAGCUGUCGCUGAGAUGCCGUCUUGUUUCAUCGUCUCAACUACCUCCACACAGUCUGACUGAAUCAUAAUUCGAUUGCAUCCCAACAAUUGCGCCAACACCAGGCCUUCCUUAAGAGUUGUCACCUCUGCCAUAGCAGCAUCUACAAUAUUUUCAAAGUAACAGACCCUGGCUCCCAUAAAAUUUCCCGUUGAAUCUCUGAUGAUUGCGCCUGUGCUGCCUGUGCUCGAUUCAGCUUUGUAACUUGUAUCAACAUUCAGCAAUAUCCUGCCCUCCGGGGGCUUUUUCCAUCCAUCUUCUUUCUUACUCUUCUUGUUCAUUGAUCUCUGAAAAUUUGCUGUCAAUGUUGCUAUUGCCAUACUCGCUCUUGUCGGAUUUUGGACAGACUCUCCAUGUACAAACUUCCUGCGUUCCCACCAGAUAUACCAUCCACCUGUUAGGAUCAAUUCGGCCAUACCCACAUGGUUUAACCCAUCGACUAUUUUAGGUACCAUGAUCAUCUCGGCCACUGCCUCUGAACCCGAUCGGUGAGUCGAUACAACUGCGUUGAUCUCAUCAGCAACACCAAGUGUACGCCAAAUCUCCUUUGCUCGAUAACAUGUAAAUAAAACAUGUCUAAUAUCUUCACAGCUUUCAUGACAAGCAGGACAACUGCUAUUUUCCUCAAUGUGUCGAUUUGCAAGGAUCCCUCGGCAGGGAAUCAGACCAUGCAAAACCCUCCAUCCAGAAAUCUUUAUCUUUGAAGGCACAUCUAAGCUCCAGAGCUUCGACCAGACUUGUUCACAACCUGCUCCACCAGCUUGGUCAAAAACCCUGUUUGCUCCAAACUUGUGAUUCCAUUGCAGAUGAUAUGCUGACCCAGCCGAGAAGUAACCAUUUUUGUUAUAAUGCCACGCCACUACGUCUUCUCUUCCCUGUCGAAGGGGAAUCUGCAGAAUUCUGUUCACAUCAAUAUCCCAGAACAGUGCCUUUAUCAGAUCUUCAUCCCAUGUGCCUGUUGCUGGGUUGAUCAGCUCAUCCACCCUAGUGAUCAAAUUGUUUCCUCUCAAUGUUUGUACUUUCAUGUUAUGACUAGAUGGAAUCCAGUGAUCCUCCCAUAUGUUGAUUUGUGUUCCAUCCCCCACUCGCCAAAUGUAUCCUCUUUUGAAACAUUCUAGUCCUGCUAUAAUACUUUGCCAUGUGUACGAGCUCCCACUCUUCAGUCUUGCAUUCAGAAGUUUCCCAUCUGGAUAGUAUCUUGCCCUUAGUGCUCUUGCACAUAAAGAGUUUGGUUCUGACAAUAAUCUCCAAACUUGUUUUGCUAGCAGGGCCUUAUUAAAAAGCUUCAAUAUCUCUGAAGCCCAUACCACCCCUAUUCUUUGGAAUACAGAGCUUCCACCAAGCUUUCCAAUGUAUCCUUUUAUGAUCCUCAUCGUCGCCCCACCAGAACUGAGAUAUGGCGUCUGCUAUCCCUUUGCAAAUGUUUUUCGGGAUGUUGAACACCAUCAUCGCAAAAAUAGGCACGGCUUGAGCAAUGGAUUUUAUAAGGAUUUCUUUUCCUCCCAUACUUAGUAGCUUCUCCUUCCAACCUUUUGUUUUCCCCCGGACCCUAUCAACCAAAUACUGAAAACAGUCACUUCGAUCUGCCCCUACCAUGGCUGGGAGCCCAAGGUACUUAUCAUUUAGUGAUUCGGUCAUGAUGUUAAGGGUCUCACACACCUCCACUUUAACUUCGACAUCUGUAUUAGCACUGAAAUAAAUGCUAGAUUUUGCAUCACUGACUUUUUGUCCUGAAUUGGAACAAUAUCUAUCAAGCAAGUUCUUUAGCACAUCUGCAUUUUCCUUAUCUGCUUUCAUCAAUAUCAGGGAGUCAUCAGCAAAUAACAAGUGUGAAACAACUGGUGCCUCCCUGCAUACACGCACACCUUGUAAUUCCCCCCUACUUUCUGCUCCCCUCAACAAACUCGAUAAACCCUCAGCCACCAUUAGGAAUAGGUAGGGGGACAAUGGAUCCCCUUGCCUCAAACCUCUUGUAGGACAAAAGGUUUCUGUCUCCAUUGAAUUUACUCUGACCUUGUAUUUUACAGAUUUUACACAGGCCAUGAUUAACUUUAUCCAUCUUCGAUCAAAUCCCAUUUUCAUCAUAAUUUUUUCCAGGAAACCCCACUCCACCCUAUCAUAUGCCUAAUGCAUAUCCAAUUUCACUGCACAUAACCCCUUUUUGCCUCUUUUCUUUUUGAUAGUAUGAAUACUUUCAUAAGCUAAAAGAAUGUUAUCAGUGAUGAGUCUCCCUGGCACAAAUGCGCUUUGGUGAUCACUAAUAACAUCUGACAAAAUUACCCGAAGCCGAUUUGAUAGCAUUUUUGAUAUGAUCUUAUACACCACAUUGCACAGACUUAUAGGUCGGAAUUGGGAGACCAGAGUAGGGUUGUUUACCUUAGGAAUUAGAACAAUUGUCGUAUCAUUCCACCCAUCUGGUAUUUUUGCUGAGUUCACCGCUUCAAGCACCUCCAUCACCAAGUCAUCUCCCAACAGCUCCCAAAAUCUUUUAUAAAAAACAGCAUGCAUACCAUCAGGCCCUGGGGCCUUAAAAUCGCCAAUCUGAAACAAAGCUUUUUUAACUUUCUCGUGGGUAAACGGCGCCAACAGUCCCAUGUUCAUAUCCUGUGUGACAGAUCGUUGGACAUCUGACAACACACUAGGAUCCGGAUCCCCCACUUCUGACGUAAACAAAAUCUCAAAGUAGUUUUGGACUAUGUUACACAUAGCUACACCAUCUUCCUGCCUUGUCUCAUUGUCAUCCAUCAAUCCCUUAAUUGUGUUCUUUUUUCUCCUCUUCGUUGCAAAAUUAUGAAAAAAACUUGUGUUCCUAUCACCCUGCUUAAGCCAAUUUGCUCUAGCUCUUUGGAGCCAGUGAAUUUCCUCUUGCUCCAGCAUGAGUUCUAGGCGGACCAUAAUCUCCUUCUAGGAUUCUGUGUUGGCAUCAUUCAUCGGUCCCCUUUUCAAUCUUUCUAACUCCCUUUUUAGAUCGGAUAUCCUCUUUGCCAGUGCCUUUAGCACCUCCUUAUCCCAUUUAUGAAGUUCCUCAUGGACGUCAUUCACCUUCUCCAAAAAUGAUGGUCCAUCGCCUCGGGCCUUUGCUCUCGCCCAUGCAGCUUUGAUCAUCUCUUCCACUGUAUGCUCCUGCAGCCAUCUUGCCUCGAAUCGUUUCUUGCUCCCACCUCCUUGAAUUGGUGAAAGAUAAAGAGUAUCCAUCACAAUCGGUCUAUGGUCUGAUCUUGUACUCUCACUGUUUAUCAGAGUCGACUGAGGAAACAGGUCUGACCACUGCAUGUUAGCAACCGCUCUAUCCAGCCUUUCUCUUAUGUGACCACAUUAGCGUUACUAUUUAUGUUACACAUAUUAUGUUACUCGUAUCCUUAAAUAUGAAGCUGCCAGUUCGUACAUAUUUUUGCUACUAGUAACAUGUUUAAUAUUAGCGAAUGGAUGUUUUUUUAAGAAAAAUUAUCCAGAUCUGUAAAGCUGGUAUAUUUUCACUAGUUCGUAUACCCUAUCUAAGUUUACUGCCAGAAAAAAUAUCACCAAACUAGUGUUUUAGAGCAAGUACAUUGCUACACAUCAGCGGUUUUAUAGGUCGUCUCAUGCAGUACCACGUAGGAUUUUUGAUGAUGUGUAGAGGAGAGACCAAGGAGAGAGAAAGAUGUCGUUGUUUCGCGAAACAACCACCUUAUGAGCUAAAUUGUAGAACUAUGAGACAACUCAAUAACCAUUGUAUAAGUUAUUGUUGCCAUGCAACUCAUAAUAUUUCCUUUUUUCAUAUACACAAAUUAAGAAAUUAUAUAACUCUAUCAGACAACUUGUAAGAUAACCCAUUCUACGGGUUGCUUGUUGAGUUUUAUCAAGAUUACGUGUCAAUGUAUAAAACCAUUUAAUCGUCUAUUAGAUGAUACCAAUGUAACUUAAUUUCCCUCCUGAUACAAAAAAAAAA
rnacentral:lncRNA from 1 species